UUAGAAAUGGCUGCUAAAACCCGAUGUGCCGAGAGGUAAAAUAUUUAUAGCCUGGAGAGGAGCUCGCGUCCGAUUAGCUAGUUGGGGUGGUAAAAGCGCACCAAGGCAACGAUCGGUAGCUGGUCUGAGAGGAUGAGCAGCCACACUGGGACUGAGACACGGCCCAGACUCCUACGGGAGGCAGCAGUGGGGAAUUUUCCGCAAUGGGCGAAAGCCUGACGGAGCAAUACCGCGUGAGGGAGGAAGGCUUUUGGGUUGUAAACCUCUUUUCUCAAGGAAGAAGAAAUGACGGUACUUGAGGAAUAAGCAUCGGCUAACUCCGUGCCAGCAGCCGCGGUAAUACGGAGGAUGCAAGCGUUAUCCGGAAUUAUUGGGCGUAAAGCGUCCGCAGGUGGUACAUCAAGUCUGCUGUCAAAGACCAGGGCUUAACUCUGGGAAGGCAGGAGAAACUGGUGAACUAGAGUACGGUAGGGGUAGAGGGAAUUCCCAGUGUAGCGGUGAAAUGCGUAGAGAUUGGGAAGAACACCAGUGGCGAAGCGCUCUACUGGACCUGUACUGACACUCAGGGACGAAAGCUAGGGUAGCGAAAGGGAUUAGAUACCCCUGUAGUC
rnacentral:rRNA from 1 species